GUAAUGUAUGGGGAUCUGCCUGAUGGCGGGGGAUAACUACUGGAAACGGUAGCUAAUACCGCAUAAUGUCUGCGGACCAAAGCGGGGGACCUCCGGGCCUCGCGCCAUCAGAUGAACCCAUAUGGGAUUAGCUAGUAGGUGAGGUAACGGCUUACCUAGGCGACGAUCCCUAGCUGGUCUGAGAGGAUGAUCAGCCACACUGGGACUGAGACACGGCCCAG
rnacentral:rRNA from 1 species